rnacentral:tRNA from 1 species
GCCGGAGUGGCGGAAUCGGCAGACGCGCUGGAUUCAAAAUCCAGUGAGCUUAACGCUCGUGUGGGUUCGAGUCCCACCUCCGGUA